rnacentral:rRNA from 1 species
UACGUAGGGGGCUAGCGUUGUCCGGAAUCAUUGGGCGUAAAGCGCGCGUAGGCGGCCCGGUAAGUCCGCUGUGAAAGUCAAAGGCUCAACCUUUGAAUGUCAGCGGAUACUGCCGGGCUAGAGUCCGGAAGAGGCGAGUGGAACUCCUGGUGUAGCGGUGGAAUGCGCAGAUAUCAGGAAGAACACCAACGGCGAAGGCAGCUCGCUGGGACGGAACUGACGCUAAGGCGCGAAAGCGUGGGGAGCGAACAGG